UGCCAUUCAAGUCGAAACGCCAAGUUGAAUCGGACCAAACUUGCCCCACAUUGAUUCUCUGAAGACCUUAUUCCGCGAUAACGGAUCCUGGCGAUCGGACGACUUGUUACAUCGCACGAUUCUUCGAUAAAUGGGACAGGGAACCGCUAUUC